GGCGAUGUAGCUCAGCUGGUUAGAGCAUCGGAAUCAUAAUCCGAGUGUCCGGGGUUCAAGUCCCUGCAUCGCUACCA
rnacentral:tRNA from 3 species